rnacentral:rRNA from 1 species
AUUGAACGCUGGCGGCAUGCCUUACACAUGCAAGUCGAACGGCAGCACGGGUGCUUGCACCUGGUGGCGAGUGGCGAACGGGUGAGUAAUACAUGUGAACGUACCUUAUCGUGGGGGAUAACGGAGCGAAAGAUGUGCUAAUACCGCAUACGCCCUGAGGAGGAAAGCGGGGGAUCUCAAGACCUGGCGCGAUUAGAGAGGCCGAUGCCUGAUUAGCUGGUUGGUGGGGUAAAAGCCCACCAAGGCGACGAUCAGUAGCUGGUCUGAGAGGACGAUCAGCCACACUGGGACUGAGACACGGCCCAGACUCCUACGGGAGGCAGCAGUGGGGAAUUUUGGACAAUGGGGGCAACCCUGAUCAAGCAAUGCCGCGUGAGUGAAGAAGGCCUUCGGGUUGUAAAGCUCUUUUGUCAGGGAAGAAACACCGGCUCUAACACAGUCCGGGAAUGACGGUACCUGAAGAAUAAGCACCGGCUAACUACGUGCCAGCAGCCGCAGUAA